UGGGAGAGCCGAACAAGGACUCCAUUGCCAUCUUCCAUAUUUUGACAAAAAUGCCCUUCUCAUUUUCAAUCCAAUCGAAGAGAUUGGGAGAGCCGAACAAGGACUCCAUUGCCAUCUUCCAUCGCCGAACCAACCUCCGGCGAGGUAAGGCCACUGUUAAACCAUUAUCCUCCUCCUCCUCCUCCUUCUUCUUCUUCUUCAAAAUCAACGGCGAGCUGAACCAAACUCCAUCGCCAUCUUCUUCUUCCUCUCCUCCUCUUCUUCAUUCUUCUUUCUUUUUUUUUUCCACUAACUGACUGGUUUUCUCUUUUGCAGAUUUGCUCCUACUCUUUUUUGGGAUCGAUUUACUUCUUCACUGUUACCAUUAGUGGUUUUUCACACCAGAUCUAGGCAAUCGUAUACAGCUACAACAAAGGGUGCAGACAAGAAUGGUCCAAUUGCAAUAGGGAUCAUUUCAUUAUUUGGAUGGGCAUACAUAUUGGCUCUUACUUUCAGCAUUCAGGAUCCAAGCUACUUAUAUGAUGUAAACAACGAAACUGCUGCAGCAUUUGUACCGGCCCAAAUACUAAUGCCGCAGGAGCAAUAGUUUUACUCUUUGUUAUCUGGGAAUCCUUCUUCUUUGGUGGCCUUUCAAUUACUACUAGUGCA